GACGAACGCUGGCGGCGUGCUUAACACAUGCAAGUCGAACGGAAAGGCCCUGCUUUUGUUGGGUGCUCGAGUGGCGAUCGGGUGUGUAACACGUGAGUAACCUGCCCUUGACUUUGGGAUAACUUCAGGAAACUGGGGCUAAUACCGGAUAGGAGCUCCUGCUGCAUGGUGGGGGUUGGAAAGUUUCGGCGGUUGGGGAUGGACUCGCGGGUUAUCAGCUUGUUGGUGGGGUAGUGGCUUACCAAGGCUUUGACGGGUAGCCGGCCUGAGAGGGUGACCGGCGACAUUGGGACUGAGAUACGGCCCAGACUGCAACGGGAGGCAGCAGUGGGGAAUAUGGCACAAUGGGCGGAAGCCUGAGGCAGAAACGCCGCGUGCGGGAUGAAGGCCUUCGGGUUGUAAACCGCUUUAGCAUGAGACGAAGCGGGAGUGACGGUAAUGGGUAAAGAAGCACCGGCUAACUACGUG
rnacentral:rRNA from 1 species